GUUAUGAUUCAGAAUUACCCUGAACUUUCAACUCAUUUUAAAGCAGCCAGAGCCAAAAAGGAUAAUUACAAAGGCAUUCACACAAUGACUUCCAAAACUACAUUUUUAUGAUAAUUUUUUCAAUAUGCUAAACUAACAUACAUUGUGACCAUAUUUUUACUAUCAUUUUGGGUUAAAGAGCAUUAAUAUAACCACAUCAAUGGCCACAUGAUACUUCUCAGCAUCAAGUAUUGUCCCAUUACCCCUCAACAAAUAAACUAGGGGAAGACCACAUAUAUACUGAACUGACAUUAUUUAUGGCUUUAUGCCAACAGUAUGAUAAGGUCCAGUUCUUAGGCAUUUGAUAAAAUAGAAAUGCUAAAUUUGUGAGACGUAGGAACAGACCGAUAAAGCUCAUAGAGACCAUCACAUGCAUCUGUGCGGAUUGCCCAAUUAGCACUUGAAAUUUCUGAAUUAUUUAAGGCCAGGAUAACUUCGAAGUACAACAAUGUGAACAUAUAUUGCUAAGAAAAACGAUCAAGUUAUCCUCUUCUUUGUUGCAUAAUUAU
rnacentral:misc_RNA from 1 species